AAACUGCUGAUGUGAUAAAUUCCCAGGGUGUCCCGCACUAUUUAUACAACUCGCUAUCAUAGUCGCUACGAUGGCGAAAACAAGAUUUAUUGAUGAUUGCAAUAGUCCACAUAUCGGCGAGUGAGAAAAAUUAACAACCGAAACCGCAACAGAGGAUCAAAAAAUUGUAACUUUGGGCAGAGAGGACCUUUAAGGUUAAGAUUGUUUUAAGGAUCAGUUGCAGAAGGACAGCCAUUGUUGUGAUUGUUACCAACCGAAAAGUACCCUUUUCCUUGGCAAACUGAGCCUUGGCUUUUAUCGACUCGACAUUGUCAAAGCUGAUCCACUGGUACCCUCUGUAAGCCCAGGGGACU